rnacentral:rRNA from 1 species
UGAGGGAAUAUUGGGUCAAUGGGCGGAAGCCUGAACCAGCCAUGCCGCGUGAAGGAAUAAGGCCCUAUGGGUCGUAAACUUCUUUUGACGGGGAGCAAUAAGGUCUACGUGUAGACCGAUGAGAGUACUCGUUGAAUAAGCAUCGGCUAACUCCGUGCCAGCAGCCGCGGUAAUACGGAGGAUGCAAGCGUUAUCCGGAUUUAUUGGGUUUAAAGGGUGCGUAGGCUGUUUGUCAAGUCAGAGGUGAAAGGCCGCAGCUCAACUGUGGAAUUGCCUUUGAUACUGGCAGGCUGGAAUGCAGAUGCUGUGGGAGGAAUGAGUGGUGUAGCGGUGAAAUGCAUAGAUAUCACUCAGAACACCGAUUGCGAAGGCAUCUCACAAAUCCGCUAUUGACGCUGAGGCACGAAAGCGUGGGGAUCGAACAGGAUUAGAUACCCUGGGGUAGGU